rnacentral:rRNA from 1 species
ACUACGGGUGGCAGCAGUGAGGAAUAUUGGUCAAUGGACGCAAGUCUGAACCAGCCAAGUAGCGUGCAGGAUGACGGCCCUCCGGGUUGUAAACUGCUUUUAGUUGGGAAUAAAAGGGGGCUCGUGAGCCCCGUAUUGUAUGUACCAUCAGAAAAAGGACCGGCUUAUUACGUGCCAGCAGCCGCAGUAAUACGGAAGGGCCGGGCGUUAUCCGAAUUUAUUGGGUUUUAAGGGAGCGUAGGCCGGCUUUUAAGUCAGCUGUGUAAGUCCGCGGCCCAACCGUGGAAUUGCAGUUGAAACUGGAGGUCUUGAGUGCACACAGGGAUGCCUGAAUUCAUGGUGUAGCGG